CCGCCCCACCCCGAGCCUGGGGGGACCGGCACCUGCACCAGGAGGAUGAGGCGGCUCCGGAGGGAGGGAGCGGGCUUAGCCCUUCUUGGUCAAGACGCUGCUGAUAUUCUUUACUCAAAACCAAACCCGUAUCUACAAAAGAGAAACAGACCCAAUCACAGAGAACAGACUUGUGGUGGCCAAGGGGGUGGGGGCACUGGACGGGGAGUUUGGGGUUCGUAGAUGCAAACUCUUAGGGUUAGGGCCGAUAAGCAAUGCGGUCCUACCCUACAGCCCAGAGAACUCUAUCCGAUCUCUUGGGAUAGAACAUGAUGGGAGGUAGUAUGAGAAAAAUGUGUGUGUGUGUGUGUGUGUAUGUAUGACUGUGUCACUUUGCUGGAAAAAAUUGUAAAUCAACUAAACUUUAAAAAUGCCUUUAUUUUUCAUCUAGAUGCGAAAGUGGUACAUACACUUCAUCGGGGAAAAUGUAGAGGGUGCAGGGAGCACAAAUCACAAGGAAAAUAAAAACCACCUGCGACCCCAACAGCCCACGAUGGCAGUUGGCCGCGUUUCAGUCGCUUUCCAGCUCCCUUGCUCUGAUGACAAACACUGCGGGGUCGUUUGGAGCAUUCGCUAGCAUUUUUCCUGGCAUUUGAAUGGUCUGUUUCUUCCCCGCAAUGAUUAAAUAGCACCCCACCAUCUGGCUGCUCCACCGCUGAUUUAACCCGCCCACUCUGAUCAAAUUUUGGGGUCGUUCCAUUUUGUUUUUAAUUUUUAAAUAACGAAAUAUUCUCCAGACUCAGAAUAAUGAGUAACUUUUGCAUAAUGAGUGGUGGAUGCUGGCUAGAUGCUCAGGAGCUGGGGCGGGGCAGGGAUGAGGACACAGGGGCCCCUGUCACCCUGCACCCCCGCCCGGGCUUGGUACCCUCCCUCCCUUGCCAGCCUGGACUCCCAGAGUCCAGUAGAGGGCUCCUGGGCCAGGGGGGGACAGAGCCUAGUCCCGGAAGCAUUUGCCAGGUGAGAUCUGCAAACCCCCAGGACGGUGGCUUGUUGGAGUAACUGCGGGUGAUACAGCCAAAUAUGACAACAGCCUGGACACAUGCUCCCCUGAGGACACGGACCGAGGCUGGUGGGUCCAGAACAUCCAUCCGCGUGCGCGGGCCCUC
rnacentral:lncRNA from 1 species